UACGGGGGGGGUAAGCGUUGUUCGGAAUUACUGGGCGUAAAGGGCUCGUAGGCGGCCAACUAAGUCAUACGUGAAAUCCCUCAGCUUAACUGGGGAACUGCGUGUGAUACUGGAUGGCUUGGAUUUGGGAGAGGGAUGCGGAAUUCCAGGUGUAGCGGUGAAAUGCGUAGAUAUCUGGAGGAACACCGGUGGCGAAGGCGAGUCCCUGGACAAUUCCUGACACUGAGGCACGAAAGCUAGGGGAGCAAACAGG
rnacentral:rRNA from 1 species